UACGUAGGGUGCAAGCGUUGUCCGGAAUUAUUGGGCGUAAAGAGCUUGUAGGCGGUUUGUCGCGUCUGCUGUGAAAUUUCGGGGCUCAACCCCGAACUUGCAGUGGGUACGGGCAGACUAGAGUGUGGUAGGGGAGACUGGAAUUCCUGGUGUAGCGGUGAAAUGCGCAGAUAUCGUAAGGAAGACCAGGGGCGAAGGCGGGUCGCUGGACAGUGCCUGACGCUGAGGCACGAAGGCCAGGGGAGCAAACGGG
rnacentral:rRNA from 1 species